GGCUAGUUAUCUCAGUUGGUUAGAGCAUGGUGCUUAUAACACCAAGGUUGUGGGUUUGAACCCUGUAUGGGAUA
rnacentral:tRNA from 1 species